rnacentral:rRNA from 1 species
GUGAGGAAUAUUGGUCAAUGGGCGGAAGCCUGAACCAGCCAAGUCGCGUGAAGGAAGAAGGAUCUAUGGUUUGUAAACUUCUUUUGAAGGGGGAUAAAGUGGGUUACGAGUAAUCCAUUGCAGGUACCCUUGGAAUAAGCAUCGGCUAACUCCGUGCCAGCAGCCGCGGUAAUACGGAGGAUGCGAGCGUUAUCCGGAUUUAUUGGGUUUAAAGGGUGCGUAGGUGGCUUUUUAAGUCAGCGGUGAAAACUGGCGGCUCAACCGCAAGAGUGCCGUUGAAACUGGGGAGCUAGAGUAUGAACGAGGUAGGCGGAAUGUGUGGUGUAGCGGUGAAAUGCAUAGAUAUCACGCAGAACUCCGAUAGCGAAGGCAGCUUACCAGGCCAUAACAGACACUGAAGCACGAAAGCGUGGGGAUCGAACAGGAUUAGAAACCCGUGUAGUCC